GACGAACGCUGGCGGCGUGCUUAACACAUGCAAGUCGAACGGAAAGGCCCUUCGGGGUCCUCGAGUGGCGAACGGGUGAGUAACACGUGGGUGAUCUGCCCUGCACUUUGGGAUAAGCCUGGGAAACUGGGUCUAAUACCGAAUAGGACCGCGCGCUUCAUGGUGUGUGGUGGCAAGCUUUUGCGGUGUGGGAUGGGCCCGCGGCCUAUCAGCUUGUUGGUGGGGUAAUGGCCUACCAAGGCGACGACGGGUAGCCGGCCUGAGAGGGUGACCGGCCACACUGGGACUGAGAUACGGCCCAGACUCCUACGGGAGGCAGCAGUGGGGAAUAUUGCACAAUGGGCGCAAGCCUGAUGCAGCGACGCCGCGUGAGGGAUGACGGCCUUCGGGUUGUAAACCUCUUUCACCAGGGACGAAGCGCAAGUGACGGUACCUGGAGAAGAAGCACCGGCCAACUACGUG
rnacentral:rRNA from 1 species